GAAUAUUGGUCAAUGGACGCAAGUCUGAACCAGCCAUGCCGCGUGAAGGAUGAAGGCGUUCUGCGUUGUAAACUUCUUUUACCAGGGAAGAAACCUGAUUUUUCUAAAUCAGCCGACGGUACCUGGGGAAUAAGCACCGGCUAACUCCGUGCCAGCAGCCGCGGUAAUACGGAGGGUGCAAGCGUUAUCCGGAUUUACUGGGUUUAAAGGGUGUGUAGGCGGACUUUUAAGUCCGUGGUGAAAUCUCCGGGCUCAACCCGGAAACUGCCAUGGAUACUAUUGGUCUUGAAUAUUGUUGAGGUGGGCGGAACGGGUCAUGUAGCGGUGAAAUGCAUAGAUAUGACCCGGAACACCGAUUGCGAAGGCAGCCCACUAAGCAAUGAUUGACGCUGAGGCACGAAAGCGUGGGGAUCAAACAG
rnacentral:rRNA from 1 species